rnacentral:rRNA from 1 species
GACGAACGCUGGCGGCGUGCUUAACACAUGCAAGUCGAACGGAAAGGCCUGCUUUCCCUUGUGGAUUGCGGGUACUCGAGUGGCGAACGGGUGAGUAACACGUGAGUGAUCUGCCCCCAACUUGGGUAUAAGCCCGGGAAACUGGGUCUAAUUCCCGAUAGGACUGCAGGGUGGUGCCUGUGGUGGAAAACGUUUUUCUAGUGGUUGGGGAUGAGCUCGCGGCCUAUCAGCUUGUUGGUGGGGUAAUGGCCUACCAAGGCGGCGACGGGUAGCCGGCCUGAGAGGGUGGACAGUGGAAUUGGGACUGAGUCAAGGCCCAGACGGCAACGGGAGGAAGCAGUUGGGAAGAGUGGGCAAUGAGCGGGAUCGUGCUGCAGCGACGCAGCGUGGGAGAUGUCGGGCUUCGAGUUGUAUCCUCCUUUCGACCAAGAGGAAGCCACGUAGUUAGAAGGGUGGUGACGGUAGUGGUAGAAGAAGCACCGGCUAACUACGUG